UUGACUGUAGCUCAGUGGUUGAAUAUCUGCCUAGCACACAGAAGGUCCUGGGGUUCUAAUCCCUGCUGUCAUCAG